AUUGAACGCUGGCGGCAUGCUUUACACAUGCAAGUCGAACGGUAACAGCACUUCGGUGGCUGACGAGUGGCGAACGGGUGAGUAAUACAUCGGAACGUGCCUAGUAGUGGGGGAUAACUACUCGAAAGAGUAGCUAAUACAGCAUGAGAUCUAAGGAUGAAAGCAGGGGACCUUCGGGCCUUGCGCUACUAGAGCGGCUGAUGGCAGAUUAGGUAGUUGGUGGGAUAAAAGCUUACCAAGCCGACGAUCUGUAGCUGGUCUGAGAGGACGACCAGCCACACUGGGACUGAGACACGGCCCAGACGCCUACGGGAGGCAGCAGUGGGGAAUGUUGGACAAUGGGCGCAAGCCUGAUCCAGCAAUGCCGCGUGCAGGAUGAAGGCCUUCGGGUUGUAAACUGCUUUUGUACGGAACGAAAAGCCCUCUUCUAAUACAGGAGGGUCAUGACGGUACCGUAAGAAUAAGCACCGGCUAACUACGUG
rnacentral:rRNA from 1 species